rnacentral:rRNA from 1 species
AAACGAUGGAUGCCCGCUGUCGGCGCCUUGCGCCGGCGGCCAAGCGAAAGCGUUAAGCAUCCCACCUGGGGAGUACGCCGGCAACGGUGAAACUCAAAGGAAUUGACGGGGGCCCGCACAAGCGGAGGAACAUGUGGUUUAAUUCGAUGAUACGCGAGGAACCUUACCCGGGCUUGAAUUGCAGGAGAACGAAACAGAGAUGUUGAGGUCCUUCGGGACUCCUGCGAAGGUGCUGCAUGGCUGUCGUCAG